UCGAGCGUCAUUAUAACCACUCAAGCCUGGCUUGGUAUUGGGGUUUUUCGCGUGUUCGCGGCCCUUAAAAUCAGUGGCGGUGCCGUCUGGCUCUAAGCGUAGUAAUUUCUCUCGCUAUAGGGUUCCGGUGGUUACUUGCCAAAACCUCCCAUUUUUCCUAGGUUGACCUCGGAUCAGGUAGGGAUACCCGCUGAACUUAA
rnacentral:misc_RNA from 1 species